GUUUCAAAGUUCUACAGUGAGUUAUGGGUGAUUCUAGUGAGAUUUCAGAGCUAUUCUUGGAGGUUUUUUGCAAGGAGAAGAUAGAUCUUGUAGCUGUGGUAUUAAGAGUGCCUUGUGUUUCUGCUGGUUGUGUGUUUUCAUCACUUUCAUCCCUUGUUAUUUGCUGUUCUUUCUUGGUUAAGAGCGAGUCUUGUAGAGUAACUAUUCGGCCAUGGAUUGAUUGGAGAGGCAUAUCCGAUGAUGAGAAGCGAAUGGAGUGAUGUCAGGGCAUCAGUGUUGAUCGACACCAGUGGCGAGUGUCGAUCGACACUACUCGUCAUGUUGGAUUAUGUGGUCUUUUCAUUUUCACUUUAUUAUUGUUGGUUAUUACUUGGAUGUGAAUUAUAUUUCUUGUGUGUAUAGCCAGUUGUGGGGAUGAAUGCCUCACUAAAUAUUUAUGAAAAUGCUUAUGCA